rnacentral:rRNA from 1 species
UACAGAGGUCCCAAGCGUUACUGAGAAUCACUGGGUUUAAAGGGUGCGUAGGUGGUCCGUUAAGUCAGUUGUGAAAUCCCCGGGCUCAACCCGGGAAAUGCUUCUGAUACUGGCGGACUUGAGGCCAGUAGGGGUCACUAGAACUGACGGUGGAGCGGUGAAAUGCGUAGAUAUCGUCAGGAAUGCCGGUGGUGAAGACGGGUGACUGGGCUGGUUCUGACACUGAGGCACGGAAAGCGUGGGGAGCGAACGGG